UUUACAUUCUACUUUUUGUAUUUAUAGUUUUGGAGGUGGCACAUGGGACUGGGAGUAUUUGGGCUUUGCAUCUCCUGAGGAGUAUGCAGAGUUUCAGUACCGGAGGAGACACCGGGAUCGUCAGCAGAGGAGACAGAGAGGGGACAUUCCCCAUCUUGACGAGCCUAGCGACAGCAUUUUAGACACACAGGAAAUGGGAGGUGGGCGAAGACCUGGUCCCCCCAUGGUGAGUUCAGU